UAGUCAAUGCUCGCAAGAGUGAACUAGCUAACUGAAAUCACAGAGUUAAUUUCUAACUCAUGAUGUCGUAAGGGAAAAUAAUGAUAAUACCUUACUAUUAGUGUCGUCCAAAUCUGGUGCCAGAAGACUCGGUAAGACCAGAGACGCAAACGUUAAUCAUCAUAAUCAGGCGUAAAGGGUUUGUAGGCAGCCUCCAUCCCCUCACCUACACCUAUUUUACCUCAAGAACCACGCCGCCUACUCCAUAGGGUCCCGCGAAGCUAUCCCGAUCCCGCAAGGAUAGAGAUGGUGGUGGUCGGGCCGUAAUGGUCCGGGCGAGGUGGUAUAUUCAGAGGUAAGAUAUAAAUAUGUUGGUGGGGGAGCCGGAGAGCUAGAAUCAAAAAGAGGUUAUAGUGUAUAACGCCUAGAGGAGGGCUGAUAUCCAUAGAUUCUAGGCAGAAUACUAAGGGCGAAGGCCACUUUCCACUAAUGAUUGACGCUGAGAAACGAAGGUUAGGAUAGGAAAUAGGAUUAGAUACCCCGGUACUCCUUUCUGUAAACGAUGAAUGGUAGUCAUUAGUAUUAAUACUAGAGACGAAGUUAACACAAUAACCAUUCCGCCUUGUGAGUACUACUGCAAAGUAGAAAACAAAAAAAUUAGUCGGUCUCGAAGCAAACGGAGUGAAGCAUGUUAUUUAAU
rnacentral:rRNA from 1 species